rnacentral:lncRNA from 1 species
UCUGGUGAAACACCUUCCGCCCACCUGUCAACAUGUCCUUGGGGAGGAGUGAAAGGCCAGAGCCGCCUGGCACACACAACCUCUGCCUCCCAGGUUCAAGCGAUUCUUCUGUCACAGCCUUCAGAGUAGCUGGGAUUACAGACACAGACUCCACCAGGAGGUGCCAGCCACCCCUCAGGCUCCAGCCAGAGAAGAAUGUGGCCUGACCCUCCCCGUGGGAGCUCUGGCCAGCAGGCCUUGGCAGAAGCGAGGCCGGCUGAGUCAACAAGAGGCUGGCAGGGGCUCAAGCUGCCCACUGAGGGGGAGUCAGAGACCCAGAGGGGGCUGCCCAUUCUCCAACUCUCACUCUCUGCGAGAUCCCCCCUCCUGCUUGGUAGGCGCCAGCCAGCCUGGUUAACCCCUGCAGACCCAAUCGGGGAAUGGCCUGGUGAGAAUCCACUGUCAAUCUCCUUUGGAACGGUGGUGUGGGACUUCAGGAGAAAUUCUUGGCUGGUAGAGCUGUCCUCUUGGGGGAGUGGUGAGCUUCCAGUCACCAAAGGGAUGUAAGUAGACGCAACAGCCAUCAGUCAGGGUUGCUUCUGAACAAUUCCUGCCCCAGAAGGAUGUGUAUACAGGACGUGAGGUUCCUCCUCACCCCUGGAGACCAGAGGAGAUCAUGGUCCCUCUGAGCGUGGUCCCAGAGCCUUUGCCCUCAAGGCAGCAGGCCACUGAGAGGCGACAGACCUGGACUCAAAUCCAGCGUGACCAUUUCCAAGCCAUGAGAGGUUACUUCACCUCCUUGGCCUCAGUUUCCUCAUCUGCACAAUGGCGUUGUGAGGAUCAGAGCAAAUAUAAGUGGAACUUCAAGCUCUGAGCUGUGUCUGGCAAUCAGGAGAUGCUCAGUUAAUGCUCCUCCUGCUUCUGCUCUUCUUCAUAUCAUCAGUCCAGGAAAGAGAGGAGGAAACCAGGAGCUAGGAAGCAGGUUUGGGGCAUAGAAGGUUGCUGGAUGAACCCAGGACCUAGAGCCAGGAGCGCCAGGUCCGACUCCCAGCUCUUUGAUGAACAGGCAGGUGCCAUGGGCAAAAGGUGUGUUCCCUUGUCCAUUUCUGUCUCUGCCACACAAAGGAGAUCAUGAACAUGGAAGUGCUUCAUUAACCGAAGUGGACGGGCUUUUGUUAGAAGAAAACAGAGAGAUCCACGUGUCCAGGAAUGCGCGCGCGGCCAUGGGGGUGAGGAAGGCGCCCCCACAGCCCACCCAGGCAGGGCCACGUGAAGCCCCCAGGGCUGGGCCAGGCUGGAGGAAGCCAUGCAGGAGAUGGUCAGGGCAAAGCAGGACUGGCCUGCAGCCCACGGGCCUAUCUCCUAGGCCAGGGUGGGCCACAGAGAAUAGGCCAUUGUUUCUGCUCCUCAAAUGCUUUUCCUGUCCCCCCUCCAUGCCCCUCCUCUCUCCACCCCACCCACCUCACAGUGAGAACAAAGGUCUCCUGGAGGACCCCUCCCCACCACCCUUCCAUCCAGGCCCCGAACCACCUGGCCCAGGUCUGGAGAGCACAUUUCUAUCACCCAGGGACAACAGGGUCAUCUGGCCCUGACCCCUUCUGCUGCCCCUCCCGCCCCCUCCAACUGC